GGAGUUUGAGGUUGAUGUGAGCUAGGUUGAUGCCAAGGCACUCUAGCCUGGGCAACAGAGCGAGACUCUGACUCAAAGAAAAUACCACUUCCAAGAUUAGUUGGGCAGAGGGAUUCACCUGACCGAAUCAGUUAAAAAUAACAAAAACAUUAACAAUCAUCAGAAUUUCUAUCUAAGAAGUAGUUACCUAAGUGGGUUCAAUAUAAACGUACUGCUACUCAAGUGACCAUAUGUUGAUUGGCUUUUUAACAAGUUACACUAGUAUCCUGUGAACCCAGCCAUAACUGAAAAGCAGUAGUGAUAGAGAAAUGGAAAUAGCCAGAGGGAAUUCAGGUUCAAAUUAUUUGCAAUGAAGAACCAAACAAAUGCCAAUAGAAGGUGGAAAAUAGGGAAAGACAAACCUGAUGGCAUGGUUUCUUGAAUAGUUCCUACUGGCCAAGACGAUAAGCUUCAUUGGUUACAAGUUCCUAGAAAAUAGGCUUGAAUGACCUUAACAUGAGUUACUUCCAGAGAUACUUUACCCCAAAUAGACAGGGAUUGUUAACUAGUUUUGUGCCGUGAACCUUUUGAUAGCCCCAUGAAAAGCUUGUCAGAAGGCUUUAAUGUAAUGUGCACACACUAUAUCUACAGCCCCUAGUUAGGAACCCCUUGAAAAGUGUUGUUUCUGAGAGAAGUCUGAAAAGUAAUGAGGCUUUUAAUUAAUCGUGGUAUUUCAGUACCAUGCAGGUAAGGAAUGUGUUAUUCUAGUUUCCAGCUAGAAUCACCCUUUUUGCUCAAAUGAUGCUGGAGAAAUCAGCCCACUUAAUGUGUCUGAGAUGAAAACCCACAGUGAAGAAUUUUUCUUCAGUAAGAAACACUGACAAAGAACUUAAGCCCUCUUGCAAGGAGUCUGACCAAUCAGGAGAAAGAGGUUCCAAGUCCCAAUUUUGACCUUUUGUGGAAAUAGCCCUUUCACUGUAUGUGAUAUAUAUAAUUGGCACAUCAUCACUAUGAACACCCAGAAUUCCCAUGUGAGGCCCGCCAACCACUUUACACAUAAGAAACCUCUCGAUUGAGAAUUAGCUCGCUCGCACUCGGUGGUGUGGUAUUCUGCCCUCGCGAACACUGCCAAGCCGUCCAAAUGUUCGCUCCCCGCCCUCUGGAAGAGCUAGUUGUGGGGAGCUGCCCAGCUGGGGCCAACCCGGUUUGGCUGCUGGCCAGAGCGAGCUGGGGCCUAGCAUUAGAGUCAGGGCAGCUGGCUGGCGGCACAGUACAGGGCGUCGCCCAAGCCGCCUUCCGCGUCACAAGGGGCGCCGCCCUCCAUCCUGGGAGGGACCGGCUGGGAAAAGCCGAUGGGCCGUGGUCGGUGCCGGAAAGCGGGUCACAGAAGAGUGCGGUGUAAGCGGGAAAACAGAGAUGAAGAGGUAGACUAAUGGCUUGCCAAGUACAUCUUAAGCUGCUGCCUGACAGCAGGCCCUAAUGCUUCCCUGCUCUUGGGCCCCACUCCAUCCCCCAAAUUCUUUGUCAUUGCUUCAUGGACUGCUGGGUUUGGGACCAAGUGCAAAUCUGGGGUGCAGAGCAGAGGGAGUGUCUUUAUAAAAGAGAAUAGGAAAGAAAUGCUAGAUUUUUUUUUUAAGUUGCAUUAAUGACUAGUAGCUGUCAGUGCUUCUUGUGAUAAUUCAUAAAGUAAUAAGAAAUCAAAUAUAUAAAAAAGAUUAUUUCUCUGUCUCAAAAAAAAGAAAAAAAGAUUAUUUCUUACCAAAAAAAUGGACAGACUCCAGACUUGUGGUUCAUUCACAAUCCACUGAGUUUUGAGAUAUUCUGGAAUAAUUAUACCUUUUCCUUUCCAGGCUGAGUUGUGUAAACUUGGGUUUUAGUUGACCUCUACAAUCCCUGCAGGGCUCUAAAAAUCCUGUCCCUUCAGACACCAUGUUCAGCAACCUAUAACAGACUGACUGAUACCAUCAAUAACCACAAUUCACACUGUGCAGUGAAAUGAUCUGAUUCCCACACCAGUUGAAGAGCUGGAGGUUCCUUAUACUUUAGGACAUUUAACUCUCAUCUUUUUGAGGUUGAAAUGGAGAAUUUUAUAUGAAGUUUAAAAAAUACAACUGAUCUGUGGUGAUAGAGAUUAGAAGAGCACUAAGAUUUGAGGCAGCAUUCAUUGGGAGGGAACAUGGGGUAUAGUUACAUAUUUCUAUAUAAGUAAAGGUUCAUCUAGUAUAGGUUUAAGAUUUAUGUACUUUAUGUAAGUUAUACCACAAUAAAAAUGUUAAAAAAAAAUAAAAAGGAAGAAUAUUUAAUGACAUGGACAUAUGAUUAUAAACUUUAAUGAAAUAUCCUAUACAAGGUAAUUCCAUUUUUUAAAAAUUUAUAUUUUAUAUAUGUAUAAGGAUAUACAUCAAAUUGUUAAUAAUUUCCUCUCACUGUUGGGAUAAUGGAGAGCUUUUUUAAUUAGUUCUCUUUAUGUCUUAAAUGUUCUUCAGUAAUUAUGUAUUGCUUCUGUAAUUAUGGAAAAUAAAAGUUAUUUUGUAAAUCCUCUUUGUUACUGCUAAGAGAUGGGUGUUCUAUUAGCUGACUCCUCUGUUUUCAUGGAGAAAAACACAAUGUCAGUUGGUAAGAAGUAGAAACAUUUAGAAAUCUGAAAUUACCUCUAAAAUAAAUUGCCUCUGGAAUUCGAGAUUGAAGAUGGAGUCUUGUUCCUUUCAUUUUAAGCUCUUGGAUAUGGGGGUUAUUUCUUUUUAUCUUUUUUAAAUUAUAUGCAUAUUUUACUUUGCUAAGUAAAUUUUAAAAGAUGAAAUAAAAUGUAUCAGUACAAUUUUUUUUUCAUCCAGUUUAUCCUAUCCUUUCUUUUUACCACUGAGCAGGCAGAACAAGGAGAAAUUAAACACUUAACUGAAAGGCACUUUGAAUAGUAAUCAGUAUCAAGUAGAGACAAAUUAUAAAUUGCUCAAUAUAAAGCAUGAGGGUUUUUUUUUUUAAUUGAGGGGACAGAAAUACAGCUUCUCAAUUAUCAUAAACUGCAUCAUACUCUUGGGGAGAGCCUUUUUGGCUUGAAUCCAUUACUGAUUAUAUAUCUUGUACCACUGUGGGAACUGCAUGAUCAAAACAGUUGUCACAGUUUGUGUAGUUAGCGCCCUCUAGUGCAUUAUUUUUAAAUGACAAAACCAUAGUUAUCACACUACACGUUGUUAAAAGAAAUGUAAAUUUUAGUCCACCUCUCUGCACUUACAUGUUGUUUUCUAGCCAUGUGGUUGAUAAAUUAGGCUGUGACCUUGCACUAGUUCUUCAACUUUAGGCUUCAUUUUCCUCAUCUAUAAAAUGAGGAUGAUUUGAAACAGAUGUUUGGUUAAAAAUUUUAAAGAAAAAAAAAAAUGAGGAUGAUAAUUGUAAGUACCAGAUAGGGUUCCCCUGAGGACUAAAUGAGCUAAUACACAUAACAUGGAUACCUGGCACAUGGCAAGAACUCAAGAAAUGCUAUUUUUUACAUAUAAAUAAAUUCAGUCAAUACUGAACAUGAAGACAAAUAAUCAGUCUUUAACUCAGGUGUCAAUGUACUAGUUGAAACAUAAGAAUGUUAAAGUAACCAAAAAAUAAGGAAUAAAAGCCUAGGUAUGAUUCUAAUUUCUGGUCCCAUCUUAAUGAAUCAAUUCAUGCCAGUUCUGAAGUCUGGGAGCAUAUUAAAUUUCUUUGCAUCCUUCACUGUGCCUGUAAUUUGCACACUCAACAAAUAUUUGUCCUUGUCUUAUUUAAUGUUCAAGCUAAAUAGCUAUAUGGUAGAUCUUAGAAAACACAGAAGUGGAAGAAUGAUAGAUAAUAAUUAGUAUAAGAACUUAUACUGAUUAUUUAGUAUAAAACAAAGUUGGACUCAACUUUCUGUUCUUAAAGCCAGAGGCACCAAAUACCAUUUUUGGGAUUAGUGUAGUUUCUGAAUAGGCUGUGGACAGGAUUUGUGUUAUCAAUGCACAAGUGUAAAAGCAGCAUAAUUAUACUAUGUAUUUCAUAUGUUCACUAUGGAACCCAUGUGAACCCUUAUUGACAAAUCAAUAGAAGUAGUAGGUUCCAGAAUCCUGCCCUCAUCCAUUCUCGCCCAUUUUCAUAUUGCUUAGGCUAUCCAGCUAAAAGUUACUGCCUUUGACACAGUUGAAGAGAUACCAUCUCCAGAUAUUCUAGGUGUCAAUCCUUUUCCUGCACUAACAGACAUGGACUUUAGUGCUUAACACCACUACCUCUUGGGCUCCCCAAGAACCCAGUUGCUUGAGGAAAGCAUUGGGUGCUUCUGAUCCCCAAGUCCCUGGAGUCUUUGGUUGUUCCCACAUAUAAUAAAUGUCCUCAUACUUAUUUUUCCUAUGUGCCUUAUGUUAGAUAUAAUUGUUCUCUUCCUUCUUUUCUGUUGCCUCAGUGCCAAACCAGAUUCAUUUUCUCAUGAACAGCUACCAGUUACCUGUGUAUUGAGUCUGUGAAUGCUUGAACACUAUGCUAAGCAUUCAUUACUUCUAACUUUCACAACCAUAUCCAGUAAGGUAGAGCUGCAGUCCCCAACCUCUGGGCCAGUACCUGUCCGUGGCCUUUAGAAACUGGGCCACACAGCGGGAGGUGAGUGGUGAGUGAGCAAGCGAAGCUUUAUCUGUAUAGCUGUGCCCCAUCGCCCACAUUACCACCUGAGCUCCGCCUCCUGUCUGAUCAGUCACUGUCUCAUCAUCCCCAGAUGGGACUGUCUAGUUGCAGGAAAAUAAGCUCAGGGCUCCCACUGAUUCUGCAUUAUGAUGAGUUGUAUAAUUAUUUCAUUAUAUAUUACAAUGCAAUAGAAAUAAAGUGAAUAAUGUAACUUUCUGGAAUCCUGCUGAAACCAUCUCCUCUCUCCUCUACCCCCAUCCGUAGAAAAAUUGUCUUCCAUGAAACCAGUCCCUGGUGCCAAAAAGGUGAGGGACCACUGAGGUAGAGGGUAUUAUCCCCAUUUUCUAGAGAAAAUUGCACUGGUUCACACAGAUAAAUGGCAGAGCCAGAUUCUGCCUCUAAAGCCAAUGGCCUCCACCCUGCAUUACAUACUUUCCAAGAGGGGGAUUUUUGAGUUAUGCUGUCCUCAGAAAUGCCUGCAAGGAACAUCUUGACACUCCCUUCAGGCACUAAGCCAUCAGUUCUGAGGCUUGCUCCUUUUCAAGAAAGCCUACCUAUCCAGCCCUGCCAUAAUGAUAAUUAUUAGGACUGUGAUGGCUCACAUUUACUCUGCUUUCAAAGGUUGGCCAAUGGGGGAUUUCAUUUUCCCUUCCAGAAAACUUCACUGAGCCUCCAAGCUGGGGAAGCAAGCUCUCUUCUGGCAGAAGAUUGCAGCUGCUAUUAUUUAACCACCCUCCCCCACCCCCAGGGGAUAAACCACAAAUCCCAAGCCUUACAGCUGGGAACACAGAUCUGGCUGUGCAAGCACAUAAAAGAAACCUUGACAAAGAGGGAGAGGGGUUCACACACUGGCCAUUCUGGUUACAGUGCAUUGGGCAAUGAGCUCUCCCAUUGGAAGCUAUGUUGCAGAACCAAAGGCACUGUCUUGGCAGGCAAAACCACAUUCAAUCAGCCUGGGCCUUCCCUACCCAUAUGCUCAUUCACUUACACCAAGCCGUGGUCUCUUUUUUUUUCUUUCAUCCCACUUGUCCAUACAUACUUCUUCCUAUUAAUCUGUGGUCUCUUUUAAUUGCUUUUCCUCUCUUUAACUCUCCUUCCUUACCCUCCACCCCCAGCUUGAUCUUGUCCUUAAAAGCUUCCUCCUGGUUUACACCUUAACCUCUUUGUAGGAUCCCAGUGAAUGCCAGGGUUUGUGUGGGUAGAAGAUUAAAUUAAAUAAAUCAAAGCCACAGACACCCGACAUGGGGGAGGAGCCACCCAGAGGGUAGAAGGGCCACAACUUGAAAACAAAUGACCUUCUUUCAUCCCGGUGGUAUUUUCGUUUUUUUAAGGUCUGCUGGUCCGGCAAGGCACUUCAACAGAAGCUACGGUUUCUAGAGCUUUUGGAAAGAACAGUAGAGUUGUUUAUAUGUGUGUCCUGAAUUUCAGCAAAACUUGGGCCUGGAAAAGUCCUGUUAUUAUUUAUUUUUCUUUUAUUUUUUUUCUUUUUAAGAGUUUCAUUUUCUCAACCUUGAAGAAGUCCUGUUAUUUAAA